UACGUAGGGGGCAAGCGUUGUCCGGAUUUAUUGGGCGUAAAGAGCGUGUAGGCGGCCAGACAAGUCUGCUGUGAAAACUCGAGGCUCAACCUCGAGCUGUCGGUGGAAACUGUCUGGCUAGAGUGCGGGAGAGGAAAGUGGAAUUCCUGGUGUAGCGGUGAAAUGCGUAGAUAUCAGGAGGAACACCGGUGGUGUAGACGGCUUUCUGGACCGUAACUGACGCUGAGACACGAAAGCGUGGGGAGCGAACAGG
rnacentral:rRNA from 1 species